rnacentral:rRNA from 1 species
GACGAACGCUGGCGGCGUGCUUAACACAUGCAAGUCGAACGGAAAGGCUCCAGCUUGCUGGAGUACUCGAGUGGCGAACGGGUGAGUAACACGUGGGUAAUCUGCCCUGCACUCUGGGAUAAGCCUGGGAAACUGGGUCUAAUACUGGAUAUGACCUUUCUCCUUAUGGGGUUUGGUGGAAAGUUUUUCGGUGUAGGAUGAGCCCGCGGCCUAUCAGCUUGUUGGUGGGGUGAUGGCCUACCAAGGCGACGACGGGUAGCCGGCCUGAGAGGGUGAUCGGCCACAUUGGGACUGAGAUACGGCCCAGACUCCUACGGGAGGCAGCAGUGGGGAAUAUUGCACAAUGGGCGGAAGCCUGAUGCAGCGACGCCGCGUGAGGGAUGACGGCCUUCGGGUGGUAAACCUCUUUCAGCAGGGACGAAGCGUAAGGGACGGGACCUGCAGAAGAAGCACCGGCGAACUAUGG